rnacentral:rRNA from 1 species
UACGAAGGGGGCUAGCGUUGUUCGGAAUUACUGGGCGUAAAGCGCGUGUAGGCGGGUCUUUAAGUCAGGGGUGAAAUGCCAAGGCUCAACCUUGGAACUGCCUUUGAUACUGGAGAUCUUGAGUCCGGGAGAGGUGAGUGGAAUUGCGAGUGUAGAGGUGAAAUUCGUAGAUAAUUCGCAAGAACACCAGUGGCGAAGGCGGCUCACUGGCCCGGAACUGACGCUGAGACGCGAAGGC